rnacentral:rRNA from 1 species
GGCUUAGAGUUUGAUCAUGGCUCAGGAUGAACGCUGGCGGCGUGCUUAACACAUGCAAGUCGAACGAAGAAGGUUAGAAUGAGAGCUUCGGCAGGAUUUCUCUCCAUCUUAGUGGCGGACGGGUGAGUAACGUGUGGGCAACCUGCCCUGUACUGGGGAAUAAUCAUUGGAAACGAUGGCUAAUACCGCAUGUGGUCCUUGGAAGGCAUCUUCUGAGGAAGAAAGGAUUUAUUCGGUACAGGAUGGGCCCGCAUCUGAUUAGCUAGUUGGUGAGAUAACAGCCCACCAAGGCGACGAUCAGUAGCCGACCUGAGAGGGUGAUCGGCCACAUUGGGACUGAGACACGGCCCAAACUCCUACGGGAGGCAGCAGUGGGGAAUAUUGCACAAUGGGCGAAAGCCUGAUGCAGCAACGCCGCGUGAAGGAUGAAGGGUUUCGGCUCGUAAACUUCUAUCAAUAGGGAAGAAAGAAAUGACGGUACCUAAAUAAGAAGCCCCGGCUAACUACGUGCCAGCAGCCGCGGUAAUACGUAGGGGGCAAGCGUUAUCCGGAAUUACUGGGUGUAAAGGGAGCGUAGGCGGCAUGGUAAGCCAGAUGUGAAAGCCUUGGGCUUAACCCGAGGAUUGCAUUUGGAACUAUCAAGCUAGGGUACAGGAGAGGAAAGCG